UACGGGGGAGCAAGCGUUGUUCGGAUUUACUGGGCGUAAAGGGCGCGUAGGCGGCGCAACAAGUCACUUGUGAAAUCUCCGGGCUUAACCCGGAGCGGUCAAGUGAUACUGUCGUGCUAGAGUGCGGAAGGGGCUACUGGAAUUCUCGGUGUAGCGGUGAAAUGCGUAGAUAUCGAGAGGAACACCUGCGGCGAAGGCGGGUAGCUGGGCCGACACUGACGCUGAUGCGCGAAAGCCAGGGGAGCGAACGGG
rnacentral:rRNA from 1 species